UGGUGAUCGCCUCUUCCGAGUGGGUGUCGCCUCAAUUGAUCUGAAUCAUUCCUCCCUCAUCCUUCGCCUCAAGCUAGAUCCCUCUAGGGUUUCUUCUACCUUCACCUCGAGCUCUUCAUCCGAUCGGAGCUUAGAAGAGCAUUUAGGGUUUGGGUAGUUGUGGAAAUUUUGGAAGGAGGAAGGAGAUUUUGGUGCCCUUUUGCCGGGCGGUGGUGAAGAAGGCAAAGAUAAAGGGGGCUGACAGGAGAAGAAAAGAGGAAUGGUAUGAGGAAGAGGACAGAGGGAAGGAGGACAGAGGGAAUUUUGGUUUAAAAUUGAUGGGCGGGCGGGUGCGAGCUCACGCAGGAGGUUAAAAUUGAUGGGCGGUUAAAUAAAAAAAAUUUUGGUUUAAAAUUUAAAUUUAAAUUUAAAAUUUAAAAUUUUAUUUUUUGUACUACCUUAUUGUGAGAAUCAAAUAAUUCCAUCAACUGCCGAACAGCAUAACAUCAAACCAA
rnacentral:lncRNA from 1 species